rnacentral:rRNA from 2 species
GGGUUGUGAGGUUAAGCGACUAAGCGUACACGGUGGAUGCCCUGGCAGUCAGAGGCGAUGAAGGACGUGCUAAUCUGCGAAAAGCGUCGGUAAGGUGAUAUGAACCGUUAUAACCGGCGAUGUCCGAAUGGGGAAACCCAGUGUGAUUCGUCACACUAUCGUUAACUGAAUACAUAGGUUAACGAGGCGAACCGGGGGAACUGAAACAUCUAAGUACCCCGAGGAAAAGAAAUCAACCGAGAUUCCCCCAGUAGCGGCGAGCGAACGGGGAGCAGCCCAGAGUCUGAAUCAGCUUGUGUGUUAGUGGAACGGUCUGGAAAGUCCGACGGUACAGGGUGAUAGUCCCGUACACCAAAAUGCACAGGCUGUGAACUCGAAGAGUAGGGCGGGACACGUGGUAUCCUGUCUGAAUAUGGGGGGACCAUCCUCCAAGGCUAAAUACUCCUGACUGACCGAUAGUGAACCAGUACCGUGAGGGAAAGGCGAAAAGAACCCCGGCGAGGGGAGUGAAAAAGAACCUGAAACCGUGUACGUACAAGCAGUGGGAGCACCUUCGGGUGUGACUGCGUACCUUUUGUAUAAUGGGUCAGCGACUUAUAUUCUGUAGCAAGGUUAACCGUAUAGGGGAGCCGCAGGGAAACCGAGUCUUAACUGGGCGUUAAGUUGCAGGGUAUAGACCCGAAACCCGGUGAUCUAGCCAUGGGCAGGUUGAAGGUUGGGUAACACUAACUGGAGGACCGAACCGACUAAUGUUGAAAAAUUAGCGGAUGACUUGUGGCUGGGGGUGAAAGGCCAAUCAAACCGGGAGAUAGCUGGUUCUCCCCGAAAGCUAUUUAGGUAGCGCCUCGUGAAUUCAUCUUCGGGGGUAGAGCACUGUUUCGGCUAGGGGGUCAUCCCGACUUACCAACCCGAUGCAAACUACGAAUACCGAAGAAUGUUAUCACGGGAGACACACGGCGGGUGCUAACGUCCGUCGUGAAGAGGGAAACAACCCAGACCGCCAGCUAAGGUCCCAAAGUCAUGGUUAAGUGGGAAACGAUGUGGGAAGGCACAGACAGCCAGGAUGUUGGCUUAGAAGCAGCCAUCAUUUAAAGAAAGCGUAAUAGCUCACUGGUCGAGUCGGCCUGCGCGGAAGAUGUAACGGGGCUAAACCAUGCACCGAAGCUGCGGCAGCGACACUAUGUGUUGUUGGGUAGGGGAGCGUUCUGUAAGCCUGCGAAGGUGACCUGUGAGGGUUGCUGGAGGUAUCAGAAGUGCGAAUGCUGACAUAAGUAACGAUAAAGCGGGUGAAAAGCCCGCUCGCCGGAAGACCAAGGGUUCCUGUCCAACGUUAAUCGGGGCAGGGUGAGUCGACCCCUAAGGCGAGGCCGAAAGGCGUAGUCGAUGGGAAACAGGUUAAUAUUCCUGUACUUGGUGUUACUGCGAAGGGGGGACGGAGAAGGCUAUGUUAGCCGGGCGACGGUUGUCCCGGUUUAAGCAUGUAGGCUGGUUGUCCAGGCAAAUCCGGAUAAUCAAGGCUGAGGUGUGAUGACGAGGCACUACGGUGCUGAAGUAACAAAUGCCCUGCUUCCAGGAAAAGCCUCUAAGCAUCAGGUAACAUCAAAUCGUACCCCAAACCGACACAGGUGGUCAGGUAGAGAAUACCAAGGCGCUUGAGAGAACUCGGGUGAAGGAACUAGGCAAAAUGGUGCCGUAACUUCGGGAGAAGGCACGCUGGUGUGUAGGUGAAGUCCCUGCGGAUGGAGCUGAGACCAGUCGAAGAUACCAGCUGGCUGCAACUGUUUAUUAAAAACACAGCACUGUGCAAACACGAAAGUGGACGUAUACGGUGUGACGCCUGCCCGGUGCCGGAAGGUUAAUUGAUGGGGUUAUCCGUAAGGAGAAGCUCUUGAUCGAAGCCCCGGUAAACGGCGGCCGUAACUAUAACGGUCCUAAGGUAGCGAAAUUCCUUGUCGGGUAAGUUCCGACCUGCACGAAUGGCGUAAUGAUGGCCAGGCUGUCUCCACCCGAGACUCAGUGAAAUUGAACUCGCUGUGAAGAUGCAGUGUACCCGCGGCAAGACGGAAAGACCCCGUGAACCUUUACUAUAGCUUGACACUGAACAUUGAGCCUUGAUGUGUAGGAUAGGUGGGAGGCUUUGAAGCGUGGACGCCAGUCUGCGUGGAGCCAACCUUGAAAUACCACCCUUUAAUGUUUGAUGUUCUAACGUUGGCCCCUGACCGGGGUUGCGGACAGUGUCUGGUGGGUAGUUUGACUGGGGCGGUCUCCUCCCAAAGCGUAACGGAGGAGCACGAAGGUUAGCUAAUCCUGGUCGGACAUCAGGAGGUUAGUGCAAUGGCAUAAGCUAGCUUGACUGCGAGCGUGACGGCGCGAGCAGGUGCGAAAGCAGGUCAUAGUGAUCCGGUGGUUCUGAAUGGAAGGGCCAUCGCUCAACGGAUAAAAGGUACUCCGGGGAUAACAGGCUGAUACCGCCCAAGAGUUCAUAUCGACGGCGGUGUUUGGCACCUCGAUGUCGGCUCAUCACAUCCUGGGGCUGAAGUAGGUCCCAAGGGUAUGGCUGUUCGCCAUUUAAAGUGGUACGCGAGCUGGGUUUAGAACGUCGUGAGACAGUUCGGUCCCUAUCUGCCGUGGGCGCUGGAGAAUUGAGGGGGGCUGCUCCUAGUACGAGAGGACCGGAGUGGACGCAUCACUGGUGUUCGGGUUGUCAUGCCAAUGGCACUGCCCGGUAGCUAAAUGCGGAAGAGAUAAGUGCUGAAAGCAUCUAAGCACGAAACUUGCCCCGAGAUGAGUUCUCCCUGAGACUUUAAGUCUCCUGAAGGAACGUUAAAGACGAUGACGUUGAUAGGCCGGGUGUGUAAGCGCAGCGAUGCGUUGAGCUAACCGGUACUAAUGAACCGUGAGGCUUAACCUUACAACGCCGAAG